CAUAUCAAUCGAUUGAGGGCUGCUUUGCUUGUUCGCUGCUGGCCCGCAUCGGUGGACUUUCACCGACGACGCCGUCGCCCCAUCACUAGAAAGUGUGAAAGCAGAUGGAUCCUCUGAAGAGUAAUACUAAAGACACGGGUUUAAUUGAAAAUGCCUGUCAGCGUAGAAGAGAACGGGAUAGAGCCCGUGCUGCCUUGAUGACAGAUGAGGAAAGGGAGAAAAAGAACAUGAAGCGGCGUGAGGCAUAUAAGAGGAAGCAGUGUCAUGUGCACAACAAGGAGAAGGAUACAGGUUUGCACCAUUUCGUGAUAAUGGUUGAGCAGUUAUUAGUGUACAUCUGAUGACUGAGUAAUCUGCAGUGGAUUUAAAUAUGAGUAAUCCUACUAAUAAUGCGGACGCAUCGUUUCUGCCAUGGCACCCCAUUCUAAUUGUUGAUUUCUAAAUUCGGGCUCUGCUUUGCUCAUACAAAAAAAUGAUAGAAUUCUGGCUCCCUUGAGGUCAAAUGAUGGAAGUAUUGGAAGAAGUAAGAAUCGCCGUGAAGAAAAAUGAUAGAAUUCUGGCUCCCUUGAGGUCAAAUGAUACCCCGGCUAAAACUACCCAGUGUGGACAGAGUGAAGAAAAACCCACACCCACUCGAUUGAAUGACUGCUGCUAUCUCAGGGCAAACCUACGCAAGAUAUGCCAAUGAUCAGGACAAGAUGAAUACAUAUUCCUGAUUGCCAUGCUAGAUAUGCCAAUGAGCAGAGAAGAAUUGACAGAAAUUUUAUGUGAUUAUAUAAUGUCAAUUGAAGAUGUUGGGACCUUGGAGAGAACUUGGUUGCGAAACUUCAAACCCUACAAGAUGGCAUUAACUGUCAAGGAACUUCAGAUGUCAUUGAGGAUUGAUCAACCAAUGUCCACAAGUUGUUUCAACAUGGGUGUGUGUAUCCUUGCAUACAAAGACUAUAAAGUGUUGCAAUAUUCCAAGUCUGUUAUGCCAACACAUUUUAUGGACCUCCGGUUCUGUGUGAGUAUUCACAGAGCAUUUAAUCACAGGUGUUUGACUGACUAUAUAGUUCUGCAAUAUAUGGCUGCCUGGAAGCAUGCGAGGACUACACCAAUAAGUGUGGAUGGACAAGCACUGAGUAUAUUAUGUUUUUCUAGGUUUAUGAUUUAGUCCAGCACAACAUGAUGCUUAUGACAAUCUUAACUACAGGAUGGACAAGCACUGAGGAAUUUUGUGAUUGACAUGCUGGCGUUCGAUGGAAACUCAUAUCGAAAAAUACUUCCUGAUUGUGUUAAGAAGUGUCUAACCCGCAUCACAGGAAAAAACAUUUGAAUUAGAUAUAUGAGAUAAAUUAUUCAAACUAUGCUUAUGAGAUUAUGGAUACUGUGAUUUUAGCCA